rnacentral:rRNA from 1 species
CGCGUAGGCGGCCUGCUAAGUCGAACGUGAAAUCCCUGGGCUUAACCCAGGAACUGCGUCCGAUACUGGUAGGCUUGAAUCCGGGAGAGGGAUGCGGAAUUCCAGGUGUAGCGGUGAAAUGCGUAGAUAUCUGGAGGAACACCGGUGGCGAAGGCGGCAUCCUGGACCGGUAUUGACGCUGAGGCGCGAAAGCCAGGGGAGCAAACGG